rnacentral:rRNA from 1 species
ACAUGAAGCUGGAGUUACUGUAAUCGCAGAUCAGAAUGCUGCGGUGAAUGCGUUCCCGGGUCUUGUACACACCGCCCGUCACACCACGGAAGUUGGGGGCGCCCGAAGCCACUUAGCUAACCCUUUUGGGAAGCGAGUGUCGAAGGUGAAAUCAAUAACUGGGGUGAAGUCGUAACAAGGUACC